AGGGAAUAUUGCGCAAUGGACGGAAGUCUGACGCAGCGACGCCGCGUGAGCGAUGAAGGCCUUCGGGUCGUAAAGCUCUGUCCUUGGGGAAGAAGGUCUUCGGACUUGACGGUACCCAAGAAGAAAGCCCCGGCUAACUACGUGCCAGCAGCCGCGGUAAUACGUAGGGGGCGAGCGUUGUCCGGAAUUACUGGGCGUAAAGGGUGCGUAGGCGGCCCUUUAAGUCGGAUGUGAAAGCCCGCGGCUUAACCGCGGAAUGGCAUUCGAAACUGGAGGGCUUGAGUGUCGGAGAGGGUAGUGGAAUUCCCAGUGUAGCGGUGAAAUGCGUAGAUAUUGGGAGGAACACCAGUGGCGAAGGCGACUACCUGGACGAUAACUGACGCUGAGGCACGAAAGCUAGGGGAGCAAAC
rnacentral:rRNA from 1 species